rnacentral:rRNA from 1 species
CUUGUUCUUUAAAUGAGGACUCGUAUCAACGGCACUACGAGGGCUAUACUGUCUCCUUUUUCUAAUCAGUGAAACUGAUCUCCCCGUGAAGAAGCGGGGAUUAUAAUAUAAGACGAGAAGACCCCAUGGAGCUUUAAACUCACCAUGCACCUCUGUGCCCCCAUACCCCUAAACACAACAGACCUGCAUGUUAGUUUUAGGUUGGGGUGACCACGGAGUACAACUUAACCUCCAUAGCAAACGGGCUAAUACCCUUAUCCACGAGACACAACUCUAAGAAUUACUAAACUAAUGCUUACGACCCGAUAUUCGAUCCAUGAACCAAGUUACCCUGGGGAUAACAGCGCAAUCUACUUCAAGAGCCCAUAUCGACAAGUAG